rnacentral:rRNA from 1 species
GACGAACGCUGGCGGCGUGCUUAACACAUGCAAGUCGAACGGAAAGGCCCUGCUUUUGUGGGGUGCUCGAGUGGCGAACGGGUGAGUAACACGUGAGUAACCUGCCCUUGACUUUGGGAUAACUUCAGGAAACUGGGGCUAAUACCGGAUAGGAGCUCCUGCUGCAUGGCGGGGGUUGGAAAGUUUCGGCGGUUGGGGAUGGACUCGCGGCUUAUCAGCUUGUUGGUGGGGUAGUGGCUUACCAAGGCUUUGACGGGUAGCCGGCCUGAGAGGGUGACCGGCCACAUUGGGACUGAGAUACGGCCCAGACUACUACGGGAGGCAGCAGUGGGGAAUAUUGCACAAUGGGCGGAAGCCUGAUGCAGCAACGCCGCGUGCGGGAUGACGGCCUUCGGGUUGUAAACCGCUUUCGCCUGUGACGAAGCGUGAGUGACGGUAAUGGGUAAAGAAGCACCGGCUAACUACGUG